rnacentral:rRNA from 1 species
CCUACGGGUGGCAGCAGUGAGGAAUAUUGGUCAAUGGACGAGAGUCUGAACCAGCCACGUCGCGUGAAGGAUGACUGCUCUAUGAGUUGUAAACUUCUUUUAUAUGGGAAUAAAAUGUUACACGUGUGGGAUUUUGUAUGUACCAUAUGAAUAAGGAUCGGCUAACUCCGUGCCAGCAGCCGCGGUAAUACGGAGGAUCCGAGCGUUAUCCGGAUUUAUUGGGUUUAAAGGGUGCGUAGGUGGGGUGUUAAGUCAGUUGUGAAAGUUUGCGGCUCAACCGUAGAAUUGCAGUUGAUACUGGCAGUCUUGAGUGCAGUAGAGGUGGGCGGAAUUCGUGGUGUAGCGGUGAAAUGCUUAGAUAUCACGAAGAACACCGAUUGCGAAGGCAGUUCACUGGACUGCAACUGACACUGAGGCUCGAAAGUGUGGGGAGCAAACAGGAUUAGAUACCCUAGUAGUC